UUGUUUGCAUGAGUUGGAUCACUGAUUAGACUAAUAGAACCUUGCACUAGACAUUUUAUACCUUGCCAGCGAAUUGGAUCACAAGAGGUUGCUCAUGAGUUUUUGCUUACAUGUGUAGUAGGAGACUAGGAGCUCAAAAUGUCACGAAAAGCUAUCAGUAUUGUUCAUGGUGGUGGACGAAACUCUGGAUGCUAUAUUUGGAGAUGUUGAUAACAUUUCCCCAAGACUAGAUAUAUUAUCAACUCUUUAUUUCCCUUGGUACUACUUAAUGUGACACCAGUAUAUUUCCAGAAUGACAUUCCUGUCAAAUUAUUUUUAGAGAUGAAAAUAGGCUACAAAGUUCUUUGUAAACAUUAAUGCAAAACUCAACAGAGUAACCUGAAAUCAAAUGUGUGGCUAAACAAGCAUUUAUUCAUGUUUGAACUGUUUUUUUUUACAUUUUUGUUUGAGUUAUGAACAUUAUAAAUUGAAGUACAAUU